rnacentral:rRNA from 1 species
UUGUAUAAUGGGUCAGCGACUUAUAUUCUGUAGCAAGGUUAACCGAAUAGGGGAGCCGAAGGGAAACCGAGUCUUAACUGGGCGUUAAGUUGCAGGGUAUAGACCCGAAACCCGGUGAUCUAGCCAUGGGCAGGUUGAAGGUUGGGUAACACUAACUGGAGGACCGAACCGACUAAUGUUGAAAAAUUAGCGGAUGACUUGUGGCUGGGGGUGAAAGGCCAAUCAAACCGGGAGAUAGCUGGUUCUCCCCGAAAGCUAUUUAGGUAGCGCCUCGUGAAUUCAUCUCCGGGGGUAGAGCACUGUUUCGGCAAGGGGGUCAUCCCGACUUACCAACCCGAUGCAAACUGCGAAUACCGGAGAAUGUUAUCACGGGAGACACACGGCGGGUGCUAACGUCCGUCGUGAAGAGGGAAACAACCCAGACCGCCAGCUAAGGUCCCAAAGUCAUGGUUAAGUGGGAAACGAUGUGGGAAGGCCCAGACAGCCAGGAUGUUGGCUUAGAAGCAGCCAUCAUUUAAAGAAAGCGUAAUAGCUCACUGGUCGAGUCGGCCUGCGCGGAAGAUGUAACGGGGCUAAACCAUGCACCGAAGCUGCGGCAGCGACACUAUGUGUUGUUGGGUAGGGGAGCGUUCUGUAAGCCUGUGAAGGUGUACUGUGAGGUAUGCUGGAGGUAUCAGAAGUGCGAAUGCUGACAUAAGUAACGAUAAAGCGGGUGAAAAGCCCGCUCGCCGGAAGACCAAGGGUUCCUGUCCAACGUUAAUCGGGGCAGGGUGAGUCGACCCCUAAGGCGAGGCCGAAAGGCGUAGUCGAUGGGAAACAGGUUAAUAUUCCUGUACUUGGUGUUACUGCGAAGGGGGGACGGAGAAGGCUAUGUUGGCCGGGCGACGGUUGUCCCGGUUUAAGCGUGUAGGCUGGUUUUCCAGGCAAAUCCGGAAAACCAAGGCUGAGGCGUGAUGACGAGGCACUACGGUGCUGAAGCGACAAAUGCCCUGCUUCCAGGAAAAGCCUCUAAGCAUCAGGUAACAUUAAAUCGUACCCCAAACCGACACAGGUGGUCAGGUAGAGAAUACCAAGGCGCUUGAGAGAACUCGGGUGAAGGAACUAGGCAAAAUGGUGCCGUAACUUCGGGAGAAGGCACGCUGAUAUGUAGGUGAAGCGACUUGCUCGUGGAGCUGAAAUCAGUCGAAGAUACCAGCUGGCUGCAACUGUUUAUUAAAAACACAGCACUGUGCAAACACGAAAGUGGACGUAUACGGUGUGACGCCUGCCCGGUGCCGGAAGGUUAAUUGAUGGGGUUAGCGGUAACGCGAAGCUCUUGAUCGAAGCCCCGGUAAACGGCGGCCGUAACUAUAACGGUCCUAAGGUAGCGAAAUUCCUUGUCGGGUAAGUUCCGACCUGCACGAAUGGCGUAAUGAUGGCCAGGCUGUCUCCACCCGAGACUCAGUGAAAUUGAACUCGCUGUGAAGAUGCAGUGUACCCGCGGCAAGACGGAAAGACCCCGUGAACCUUUACUAUAGCUUGACACUGAACAUUGAGCCUUGAUGUGUAGGAUAGGUGGGAGGCUUUGAAGUGUGGACGCCAGUCUGCAUGGAGCCGACCUUGAAAUACCACCCUUUAAUGUUUGAUGUUCUAACGUGGGCCCCUUACCGGGGUUGCGGACAGUGUCUGGUGGGUAGUUUGACUGGGGCGGUCUCCUCCUAAAGAGUAACGGAGGAGCACGAAGGUUGGCUAAUCCUGGUCGGACAUCAGGAGGUUAGUGCAAUGGCAUAAGCCAGCUUGACUGCGAGCGUGAC